rnacentral:rRNA from 1 species
UACCAGCACCCCGAGUGGUCGGGACGAUUAUUGGGCCUAAAGCAUCCGUAGCCGGUUUUACAAGUCCCCCGUUAAAUCCAGCUGCUUAACAGAUGGGCUGCGGAGGAUACUAUAAGACUAGGAGGCAGGAGAGGCAAGCGGUACUCAGUGGGUAGGGGUAAAAAUCCGUUGAUCCAUUGAAGACCACCAGUGGCGAAGGCGGCUUGCCAGAAUGCGCUCGACGGUGAGGGAUGAAAGCUGGGGGGAGCAAACCGG